rnacentral:tRNA from 1 species
GCAUCCGUAGCUCAGGUGGAUAGAGCACCGGUUUCCUAAACCGGGUGUCGGGGGUUCGAGUCCCUCCGGGUGUACCA